rnacentral:lncRNA from 1 species
ACAAACUCCCUGGGGGUGUUUUCCCACUGCCCCAUUUAUAUACCUCCUAGGGCGAACUCACUCCCUAUGCCAGCCCUUGGAGUCCACAGCUAUGAAACUACUAGGUAAGGCCAUUGAUCUCCAGGCCUUAUCUGCAAGGAAUCUCAGACUAGUAUCACUAGCAGGCCCUUGGAAUUCCAACAGAGAGAAUCAAAGGCUCCUUUGUACAGGAUUUAGAAGCCAAGGACCCACUCUGUGCCCUUCUUCAGGUUCCCGGACAUCUCUGAGUCUGUCUCCCAAUCCUAAACACUUCCUACUGCGUUGCUAGGUUUCCUAGGGCUCACAAGCCAAGGCUACGGGUGGAUGUCUGCAAAAGCACCAACCCAAGGGCCUAGUUAUAGCAUCUGCUGUUGGCGCUCAGUAGAACUGUAUCCAGGGUUCCCUCCACUUGAAGAUGAGGAUGCAGAGGCUGAAUCCAGGCACUAUUCCACCUUUAGUGGCUGCUCAAGAUCCAAAAAAAAAAAAAAAAA